CCGUAGGUGAACCUGCGGAAGGAUCAUUGACGAGCCCCGAAACGACCGUGAACCUGUGAGCGUGCCAUCAUGCGCGGGAUGGUGUCGGCGUGCUUCGCGCGCCGCAUCCUCCGCCUCUCAAAACCCCCCAAGGCGCUGCGCGCCAAGGAAACGAACGAUGAGGAUCGGUUGGAGUGAAAUCCUCCGUUCCUUGAGGUGGUGCGCGACGAGCGGACCGAAUACGCACAAAAGAGUGUUGAAACGACUCUCGGCAACGGAUAUCUUGGUUCUCGCAUCGAUGAAGAACGUAGCGAAAUGCGAUACUUGGUGUGAAUUGCAGAAUCCCGUGAACCAUCGAGUCUUUGAACGCAAGUUGCGCCCGAGGCGAUUCCGCCAAGGGCACGCCUGCCUGGGCGUCACGCAUCGUGUCGCUCCCCCCUUGCAUCGUCGUCGUCCACCCCGGUGUGAUGCGCGUCGAUGCACGUGGCCGCGGACGUUGGCCCCCCGUGCGCUCGCUCGCUCGGCCGGCCUAAAUGAGUCGCGUUCCGGUGUCAUCGGGCGCCAUGAGCAAUGGUGGUUGCCUUUGUCGGCUUCGCAUGCCGUGGCGCAUCGAUGAACACCCGCGGAACUGGCGGUGGAUCGUCCUUCGUGGCGAGGCGUUAGCUUAGGCUCGCCGCAUCGACCGCGACCCCAGGUCAGGCGGGACUACCCGCUGAGUUU
rnacentral:rRNA from 1 species